AUUUUAAUGGCCGCGGUAUUUUGACCGUGCAAAGGUAGCAUAAUAAUUAGCUUAUUAAUUGUGAGCUUGUAUGAAUGGUUGGACGAAAUAUUAACUGUCUCGUAUUUAUUAUUAGAAUUUAAUUUUUGAGUUAAAAAGCUUAGAUUUUUUUAUAGGACGAGAAGACCCUAUAGAUCUUUAUUUUCAUUAUUUAUUUUUUUUUUUGAAUUUAUUUAUAUUUCUUGAAUUUUUAGUUGGGGUGAUUUANAGAUAUAAUUAACUCUUUAUUUUAUUUUUCAUUUAUUUAUGUUUAUUUGACCUUUUAUUAUUGUUUAUAANAAAAAGAUACCUUAGGGAUAACAGCGUAAUUCUUUUUGAGAGUUCUUAUUGACAAGGGAGAUUGCGACCUCGAUGUUGAAUUAAGAUUAAUAUUAGGUGAAG
rnacentral:rRNA from 1 species